rnacentral:rRNA from 1 species
UGCCAGCCGCCGCGGUAAUACGGAGGGGGCAAGCGUUGUUCGGAAUUAUUGGGCGUAAAGGGCGCGUAGGCGGCCUUGUCGGUCAGAUGUGAAAGCCCAGGGCUCAACCCUGGACGUGCAUUUGAAACAGCAAGGCUUGAAUACUGGAGAGGAAAGCGGAAUUCCUGGUGUAGAGGUGAAAUUCGUAGAUAUCAGGAGGAACACCGAUGGCGAAGGCAUCUCUCUGGGCCGAUAUUGACGCUGAGGCGCGAAGGCGUGGGUAGCGAACGGGAUUAGAUA